CACGUAGGCACCAAGCGUUGUCCGGAUUUAUUGGGCGUAAAGAGCUCGUAGGCGGUUCGGUAAGUCGGAUGUGAAAACUUUGGGCUCAACCCAAAGCGUGCAUUCGAUACUGCCGUGACUUGAGUUCGGUAGGGGAGUGGGGAAUUCCUAGUGUAGCGGUGCAAUGCGCAGAUAUUAGGAGGAACACCGGUGGCGAAGGCGCCACUCUGGGCCGAAACUGACGCUGAGGAGCGAAAGCGUGGGUAGCAAACAGG
rnacentral:rRNA from 1 species